CAGAACAUUAAUAGACUCUCUAUUACACUACUUUAAAUAAUUAAUUGCAUCAAUUAAAAUCGAAUCGAAGGAUUUCAAAAUUAAUGAAUUUCAUACCUUUUCUAGCUUCGAUUUUUGAUUUUUUUGGCUUUGAUGCUUCUGAUUUGUUGUUUGUGAUGGUUGGGCUUUGUUUAGGGACUGAUAUGCUAGAUAAUUUCGUUGGCUAGAGGUUGAGAGAGUCUAGGAUGAGAGUUAGGAAAAUUCAAGUGUGCAUUUUGCAUUAACUCUCUUUGAUCUCUAUUUAUAGGACAAUUCUAAUGCUUUGGAUGCUCAAUUUGGUUGUAUAAUUGAGGUGUAAUGGUAUAGUAGCAUGAGGGAAUUCUAGAAGGUGGUGGUUGGCUAGCUUUUGCAAAGAUUCUAGCAACAAUGCUACUAAUAAUACACUAAAAUGGACAAAAAGGGUAUUUUGGUAAUUUCCCAUAUAAUUUCAUGGGCAUUCUUGUACAUAGCAAUUAAAUGUAAUAUUUAAUCACUAGAUGGUAAUUCUUAUCAUUUACCAAUUACUUUUCAUCCUUUGGUAAAUUAAAACAUUUAUACAUUAACAUCGUAAUUAAACCCAAUAAUUUUAAAUUAGGGUUUUUGAUUGAAAAAUUAGGGUUCUAAAAUUAGGGUUUCUUAACGCCAUCAAUUAGGGUUUCUAAUUGACCAUUAGGGUUCUCUAAUUAUCUGUGUAUGUUCUAACACAGUCAUUACGAUCUCUAACUUCAACCGAUUAGGGUUGUAAUAAUUAGGGUUUGUCCUAAUUAUCGACAAACAACAGUAAUUAGGGUUUUCUUCUAAUUACCG
rnacentral:lncRNA from 1 species